ensembl:lncRNA
AAAAUAUUUUUUUUUUUGCGAGUUGUGAAUCCACAACAGUGACAUGUUGCUCUGUUUGAAGAGCAUAGUGGGAAAUUAAAACAUUUUAGAUAUUAAAAACAAUAUCUUUACAUAAAGUGUAUCUCAUUUCAGAAGAAAGAAAAAUAUAUUUCUAAAAUAGUAAUGGGCAGAUAAUAUUGUUAUGAGGUAUUUUUGAUAAUAAUGAACCGAAAUCAAAACGUAUGGCAUAUUAAAAUUCUGUAAUAAGCCAAAACAUUCCCACCAUCAGCAAGGUCAUAAUCCACACAAAGGGUUAUGCGGCAUUCUUCGAUGCACACAGCUCGACCUGAAAUUAUUACUAGCACUGAGCGACGCCCAUGAAUAACACCGUCUUAAGUAGGUUAAAACACAAAAGAAAAAACAUUUCUUUAAAAGAAUGACCAGGGAUACUACGAUUUUAAAGAUAUUAGUAGCCUAAACAAUGCAAAUCAUUUAAGUUGAAGGGCCCCAAUUGUUACGUUCACUACAAAACAUAUUACAUUCGAGUAGGCUAACUUAAAACGGUAUAGUAGGGGAAAAAAGUAGGGAAAAAAAGAAAUAACCUAUAGUGUCAAAAACAGAAACAGUAAAGCAUUUAUUUUUCAUGAUUGUAAUAAUUUUAGUUUUAAUGUCAAUGGAAUACUGAGUUGGGUUUCUCAAAAUAGAUUAGGCAACUAUUUUCCAAAAACAAUUAAAAAUACUGUUAGCAGAACGAUUUAGACUACUUUUUACAGUGACAUCCAUCAAGAAUUUGUACCAUUGCCAGAAAUUGUUAAGGCCUGAUUAUUCUGGUAAUCAGGCACGGUGGAGAAAGUAUAUGCAAUAACAAAAUGUCUAUACCCUAUCUCAGCAGAGAGAGGAUCAUUCGGAUCAAAUUAAACAUUUUCGGGGUUAUAAUAAAAAAGAUGUUUGGUAUAGCUUUGGUUAAACUUCAGUGACCUGUGUUGGCUUUGUCAGUUUAUUAGCAUAAUGCCAUUCACCGCAACGGGAGGUCUCUUAGGGACCUGCUUAGGGCAACAAGCAUUAAUUUUCCGGGUUCAAGACAUUGUAUGUGUGUGUCCGUGUGUAACAGAGAGAGAGAAACGCUCAGUUUCUGUUUCUGCAUACAAAUUGAGUUUCACUCGGUUAACUUAAUGAAUGCAACCAUAACCAAAUAUAUAUAUUUGGUUACGUUCGGUUGUGGAUACGCACAAUUGAACUACGUUCGAUUGUGGAUAAGCAAUGCAAAUGUCGUUUGGCCAACUAUCAGUGCUAUUCUCAAAAGGCGGGUUUCCAAACUUUGCUCUGAACGCUGCUGAGAGAAGGAAAUACUGUAGCAGGGCAGGCCAGAAACACAUACAGACACAGACAAGAGCCAGAACUAUAAGAAAGACAGAAUGCAGAAUGGAUCAUUUAGGGUAGAGGGAGACAUUAUCCAGACAACGCGCACCCACUGAGGGCCCACAGGUCCACAAAAGCUGAACCGACCUGUGUUAAGAACAACA